AUGGAUGAUUUAGAUUGCCCAGCAGACGAUUUCGACUUUUGUCGAAUGUGCGAGCUCCCGAUGUAUCAAAAAGAUGACCCCAAAAAGUUCAUGGUCUUUGCAUGCCGUUCGUGUGGACUUGAGAAGCCAUGUGAUUUCCUUUACACUUUGGAGAAGAAGAGGGUCAAUGGGAUCUCAGUACUUCCAGAUGUGAAGGAUCAAGGAGAAAGAGGUAUAUGUGUGCCAACAGCACUGCUGACACUUGUAGAGGCUGAAAUUAAAACUUCUAAAGCUGAGAUGAAUGAAGACUUUAAUCAAGAAUUGUCCCUUGAUGAUCUGUUGAUGGAAUAUAAAGAAGAAGUUGGCGUUGAGGAUGAGGACCAUAAUGUCUCGGACCAUGAUGAUCAUAGAGCAAAGACACUUAUGGAAAUCAUGUUGGAAAGGGGGGUGAACCUCAAAGAUAAUCCCACGGGAGGUGAGUGCUUUAAAGCCCGGGAAGUUCGUCACUUAAAAAACCAGUCAUUCAGUGACUUGGCAGGCUAUAUACUAAAAGGGCAUCCACUGAAGAUUAAAAUGCCAAUCACAAAGAAGUUCUUUAAGUUGAAAGGAAGCGGUGAAAUGUACAUUGGUAUAGCAGGGACUCCAGAUAUGUAUACAAAGGACUCAGUGCAGGUUUGGCACUCGGUUGUCCUUGUUGGAUUUGGAAGAAAGGAAGGGGUUGAAUAUUUCCGAUACAUGAACAGUCAUGGAACCGAGUUUGAUGAUGGUGGGUUCGGUGAUCUGCAGGCAGCUGAGAUAAAGGACCCUUUCCUUAUUGUGAUUUAG
rnacentral:rRNA from 1 species